CAUCCAAGGCAGACAGGCAGGCGCCAUGACUCCAGCCAGACAGCCAUACUGAGGCAGACAGGCCGGGGCCAUGACUCCAGCCAGCCAGCUAAGGCACUCAGGCAGGAGCUGCAACUCCAGUCAGCCAGUCAAGGCAGGCAGGCAGGGGCCAUGACUCCAACUGGUCAGCCCAGGCAGGCAGGCAGGUAGGGGCCAUGACUCCAGCUAGUCAGCUAAGGCAGGCAGACAGGAGCUGCAAGUCCAUUCAACCAGUCAAGUCAGGCAGGCAGGGGCCGUGAUUCAAGCCAGCCAGCCAAGGCAGGCAGGCAGGCAGGGGCCAUGACUCCAGCCAGACAGCCUAGGUAGGCAGGCAGGCAGGGACCAUGACUCCAGCCAGCCAGUCAGCCAAGGCAGGCAG
ensembl:lncRNA